UAGUUUGAUGUGUGUGAAUGGUCGAUGAACUACCCAGUUAAUAAGUAUUUAAUGUAUGAAUCAUAAUUGUUAUGUGAUGAACUAUUUCAUUUCCACUAGUUCAUGGAUCUGGGUAAAAGUGGAUUGAUUGGGAAGGUGGUAGGCAAAUGACUGGUGAUGGACUAUGAGUAUUUCUGUUGGGAGCCUCGAGAUCAUGGAUUUGUGCAGGAAGUGCUACAAGGAGUUGAAUCCGCCCAGUGCACUAGGCCCGAGCUCUCACAUCCAAAUGGUCUUUGAUCGAGGAUCCCACCAGGCAGGGCUCAUUUGAGAGUCUGUUGGACGUAUCUUAUAAUUUUAAAUCUUCUCAUGGUAGUCCUGUUUUCAUGAUGAGAUAAUCGGUUGAUCACCGGUACUUAUGAUUUCUGCAAUCUUGCAGCUGUUAAAGAGGGAUGAACAGAUGAACAUAACAUGUAUUAGUUGGCUAUGGACAUGGAAAUCCCUGUUCUGCUCUUGUGAUUGCAUUGUUAAAAGUUUUGGCAACAAGGAAUCGAAAUAGGCUGAGGGCCCUACACUUCAAAUAUUGUCAAAUCUAUAGUGUAGACAUUGCGGGUCCGAAUUCAUAUAAAAUCUUAUAUAUUUCCUCUGUGCACUUGGAUAACUAUUUUCCAGAAAAAAAGACAAAAAAAACUUAGAAAGUUGGCAUGCAUAGGAUAAUUGUUUUAGGUAAGGUGGGCCACGUCAUUUUGUUGAUGGUUUUUGUCUCCCUCUCCUCUCCUCUCCUCUCCAUUUGUUUUGGUUGAUGAAUCUAGCUGUUUUUAAAUUUAUGUGGAGUCUCAAUCUUAAGAUGAAAACCACAAGAUAAUAGAUAUGUUUUUUAUUUUUUUCUUUUUUAUGAAAAAUCACUUAAUAGCUUAAGUUUCAUUUUAUUUGAUACCUGAGUUUUAUAUAUAUAAAAAAAAAACUAUUUAUUUCCUAUAAUUGAUAAACAUAGAAUCUUGAUUUGCACACAUUUUGUUAUUUCCUGUUAUAACUUUUUUAAAUUUAUUUAGAGUUAUAAUUUUAUAAAAUUUAUGGGUAAAAGUGAAAAUGGCUUUUUUUUUUUAAAAAAAAUUAAUUAAUGUCCUUUCAUGUAAGAAAAUUUUAUGUAAUGCCAAAAAGGAAAAUCACUUCAUGUAUGCGUAACAUUAAGGGAAGCCAUUAAAGAAAAACCCUUGAGAGUGAUAGAGAUUCAUGUGAGAUGAUUAGCCCAAAUAAAUUGAAUAAUUGGGUUGAUUUGAAAAAAAAAGGGUUAUCCGUUUAAAAUCAUGCAAAAUUGAAUUAUUUUCAUUUUAAAUAAAAAAUAAUUUAAAUUAAUUCUUACAAAAUUUUGUUAUUUCAAACCAAAGGGUUAAUAUCUGUAUUAAUAUUUAUUACAUUAAUUUUUUAAAAGUAAAAUUAUCAGACAAAAUCAUAAAUUUUUCCAACAAGUGAUGGAAAAGUCAUAUGAUCUAAUUUUUCCCAUCCAUUAAGCUUUUUCUAGUGCGUCUAAUUUGACUGCCACCAUAAUAUCAUAAAACAAUUAAUUUAUUUAUUCAUAAAAUAAUGCAUUGUUGACGUUGAUUUUCUAACAAAUUCAUACCUUUUCCAUUUAAAAUUAAUUAUUUGUUUUUCUACAUAUAUUUUUUAUAUUAAGGUCACUUCCAAGUGUUAAUUAUUUCAAAUUAAAAUAAUAAAAUUCGUUAUGUUAAUUAUCUAUUUAAAAUUACUAGAAAUUUCAAAAAUUAAAUAAUAUAUGCAGAAAAAAGCCACCAAUAAUUGAUAAAAUAUUGGGAAUUGAUAUUAUUGAUGAGAUAAUUUAUAAUAUAAUAGCUUUUACAUAUGCACUCUAUGAGCCGCCACAACAGUGCCUAUCCAAAGACCCACUUCAUAAUAAAAAUCCAAAUUACUCAGGAUUUUCAAGAUUUUUUAUUUUUUAAUUUUGUUUAUUCUAUAAUAAUUUAUUAAUAUAAAUUAUAUUUUAACAAAUUUGGUAACGAAAAUGAAAAUGUAUAUAAAGACUGUAGAAAAUUCAUAGGAUGAGCUUCCAAAGUUCUUUUUUUUUUCUUUUUUAUUAUUAUAAAGAUGUAAAAUGUAAAAUUUUAAUGAAUUAUCCCAAUAAAAAAUAUUCUUUAAAUGAAAAGAAAAUAGAGAGUAUAUAAUCAUAAAAGAAAUUAAAUUAAAUAUUUAUAUUUAUUUCAUGUGAUAAAUUUUACAUUUUCUAGUUUAUAAUCACAAAUAUGUAAUUAUAAAAUUAAAUUUCAAAUUAAUAUUUUUUUGGGUUUUAAGGAUUGAAUUUAUCUAAUUAAUAUUUAUUUAAAACACUAUUCGGCAUGACUUAUCUAAUUAAUAUAGACAUACAUAUUCGUAUUCUUGCAACCGUAGGAUCUGAUCUUAAUAAAAACAAUCAAAGGGUACAAAAUCAAAAUGGACAUUAUUGAUAAAAAUAGCAAAAGAAAGAAUGAAAAUAGGAGGGACGAUGAGGGAGGGAGGGAGGAGAAGCAAUAAGCUAACCUGCUGAACCUUUGACGUUUGUUUGGCAAUUGAAAGGAAAGGAGAAGAAAGGAAAGGAAAGGAAAG
rnacentral:lncRNA from 1 species